CAUGUUUCAACGUAUUAGCAAACAUAAUAAAUUGACAACAUGAAUUAAAUAUCAUCAAAUAUCUAAAAAAAAACCUACAUGUAUAAAAUAUAAUACAUGGCAAUUAUAACCUAUGAUACAGGUUACAAUGCAAAAAUUAUUAUGUUCCAAACCAAUAUCACCGUGACAAUAAUAACUGAAGUAGCAUGAGUUUCAUGACGAAGCAUAGAAAAUCAAAAAAACACUACAUUAACACAUAUUUGACGAAGCAAAUACACAGAGGGCAUAAGUACAAGCAACCACGCCCUCCGCACCAGUUAAAAUAUCAUCCACCUUACACCAAGCUAGUAAGGAAAAUUGGUUUAUUUGCAAAAACAAAUACACAGAGGUCAUAAGUACAAGCAACCACGACCUCUGCACCAAUUAAAAAACGGUAACCUUACCCAAGUAAGCAAGGAAAUUAGGUUUGAAAAAUAAAAUAUUAGAAAAUGAUAAUCAAUAAAUGAAAUAAAAUAAGUUUUGGGUUGCGAC
rnacentral:lncRNA from 1 species